GAUCCUGGCUCAGGACGAACGCUGGCGGCGUGCUUAACACAUGCAAGUCGAACGAUGAUGCCCAGCUUGCUGGGUGGAUUAGUGGCGAACGGGUGAGUAACACGUGAGUAACCUGCCCCUGACUCUGGGAUAAGCGUUGGAAACGACGUCUAAUACUGGAUAUGAUCACUGGCCGCAUGGUCUGGUGGUGGAAAGAUUUUUUGGUUGGGGAUGGACUCGCGGCCUAUCAGCUUGUUGGUGAGGUAAUGGCUCACCAAGGCGACGACGGGUAGCCGGCCUGAGAGGGUGACCGGCCACACUGGGACUGAGACACGGCCCAGACUCCUACGGGAGGCAGCAGUGGGGAAUAUUGCACAAUGGGCGAAAGCCUGAUGCAGCAACGCCGCGUGAGGGAUGACGGCCUUCGGGUUGUAAACCUCUUUUAGUAGGGAAGAAGCGAAAGUGACGGUACCUGCAGAAAAAGCACCGGCUAACUACGUGCCAGCAGCCGCGGUAAUACGUAGGGUGCAAGCGUUGUCCGGAAUUAUUGGGCGUAAAGAGCUCGUAGGCGGUUUGUCGCGUCUGCUGUGAAAUCCCGAGGCUCAACCUCGGGCUUGCAGUGGGUACGGGCAGACUAGAGUGCGGUAGGGGAGAUUGGAAUUCCUGGUGUAGCGGUGGAAUGCGCAGAUAUCAGGAGGAACACCGAUGGCGAAGGCAGAUCUCUGGGCCGUAACUGACGCUGAGGAGCGAAAGCAUGGGGAGCGAACAGGAUUAGAUACCCUGGUAGUCCAUGCCGUAAACGUUGGGCGCUAGAUGUAGGGACCUUUCCACGGUUUCUGUGUCGUAGCUAACGCAUUAAGCGCCCCGCCUGGGGAGUACGGCCGCAAGGCUAAAACUCAAAGGAAUUGACGGGGGCCCGCACAAGCGGCGGAGCAUGCGGAUUAAUUCGAUGCAACGCGAAGAACCUUACCAAGGCUUGACAUACACCGGAAACGGCCAGAGAUGGUCGCCCCCUUGUGGUCGGUGUACAGGUGGUGCAUGGUUGUCGUCAGCUCGUGUCGUGAGAUGUUGGGUUAAGUCCCGCAACGAGCGCAACCCUCGUUCUAUGUUGCCAGCGGGUUAUGCCGGGGACUCAUAGGAGACUGCCGGGGUCAACUCGGAGGAAGGUGGGGAUGACGUCAAAUCAUCAUGCCCCUUAUGUCUUGGGCUUCACGCAUGCUACAAUGGCCGGUACAAAGGGCUGCGAUACCGUAAGGUGGAGCGAAUCCCAAAAAGCCGGUCUCAGUUCGGAUUGAGGUCUGCAACUCGACCUCAUGAAGUCGGAGUCGCUAGUAAUCGCAGAUCAGCAACGCUGCGGUGAAUACGUUCCCGGGCCUUGUACACACCGCCCGUCAAGUCAUGAAAGUCGGUAACACCCGAAGCCGGUGGCCUAACCCUUGUGGAAGGAGCCGUCGAAGGUGGGAUCGGUGAUUAGGACUAAGUCGUAACAAGGUAGC
rnacentral:rRNA from 1 species